AAUGGUCACACCAGUUCCCAGUGCCUAGUUAAGCAUUAAAACUUGUAAUGAAAAUAAACAAAUAAUACUCAAUGAGUUGAAAACCUAACUCAUAAACUAAAAUAUCAAAUUAGCAGAUAAAUGAUUCAGAACCAAAAAUUCUUGAGGACCUAUCUGAAAGUGUCAUCAAGAAAAAGAAUCAUAAAAUCACUUGCCACGAUAAACUCUAUCUAUACGUCUAUAUAGCUUGUACUCGAUAACGUUCCCCAGAUGAAAAUGCCACAAGAUUGCAAAAUUCAAUAGAAAAGUGCAUUAUCAGUGAAUCAAACCCAACUGCUAUUGGAUUUGCAUCAGAAUAAAACGGAAAAAAAAAUGAUCAGUCUCUAAAUUGAUUUGACUUGUUUGCAACAACACUCUGAAAGCAUAAUUAUAGCACAAAGUGAUA
rnacentral:misc_RNA from 1 species